rnacentral:rRNA from 1 species
AGUGAACGCUGGCGGUAGGCCUAACACAUGCAAGUCGAACGGCAGCACAGGAGAGCUUGCUCUCUGGGUGGCGAGUGGCGGACGGGUGAGGAAUACACCGGAAUCUACUUUUUCGGGGGGGAUAACGUAGGGAAACUUACGCUAAUACCACAUACGACCUACGGGUGAACGCAGGGGGCCUUCGGGCCUUGCGCGAUUGAAUGAGCCGAUGUCGGAUUAGCUAGUUGGCGGGGUAAAGGCCCACCAAGGCGACGAUCCGUAGCUGGUCUGAGAGGAUGAUCAGCCACACUGGAACUGAGACACGGUCCAGACUCCUACGGGAGGCAGCAGUGGGGAAUAUUGGACAAUGGGCGCAAGCCUGAUCCAGCCAUACCGCGUGGGCGAAGAAGGCCUUCGGGUUGUAAAGCCCUUUUGUUGGGAAAGAAAUCCAGCUGGUUAAUACCCGGUUGGGAUGACGGUACCCAAAGAAUAAGCACCGGCUAACUUCGUGCCAGCCGCCGCAGUAA